rnacentral:miRNA from 1 species
UGUGGUGUGUGUGUGUGUGUGUGUGUAUGUAUAUAUAUAUAUAUACAUACACACACACACACACAUACACACAUA